ACUUCACUAAAAUAGUGCAGUAUAUUUGAUCCUGUUGGAUUGAAGAAAGAGGGGGGGGGGUGGAAAGGAGGGAGGUUGAGUCCUGGAAGUGAUUGCAAAGUUGCACCUUGAUAUUACCCCAUUGAAACAGUGCCUCUGUCUAAGCUAUAGAGUCACAUGGACAUGGAACAGCUGUGGGUUUAAAACAAUGGACAAAGAUACAUUAGACUGAACCAUGGCUUGAGGGGUGGGGGGUGAACUUGUAGCAGUGAAGGUCUGGGUUGAACCACUACACGGCAUGAGCAGGAGGACACUUGAUAGCCCUAAUCAUUUGCCACAAUGAAGCUAAGCUGAAGCUGAAGGCCAGUGUUAACGCAUACUGCAAAGCAUCCAGAGACCGUACGUUUGCAUUAUAUGUAUGAAACCACAAAACUUAAAAAGAAAGACACUCACGCUUUCUGUACACACUCUCAGGCAUGUCACCCCACCAACACCACAACCACUACACUACACCCACACUUAGACACAUUCAGGUAUGCACAUGCUGACUCAAAAUACAUACCUGCACCUGUCUCAACUAAGACAAGGCACUCCCAGCUACACCAUCACAGUCCGGGGACAGUCAUGCAAACAGAGGUACUUCCUGCUCUUGGGUCUCCAUGCUAUGAGGUCUCUAGAUGUAGUGACUGACAUAAGGAUGUCUCUGACAAAGACAUUUUGCAUCAAGAUGUACUCUUGCCUCCAUCACCCUGUUGGAAUUCCCUGUUCAGAAAGGAGCACAGCACUUGCUGCACACAGUUUGAGCAUGCAAUGCCAAUGUUGGCCUGUGGAGGGGAGAGGAGCACCGUAAUAUGUAUGUGACUGCAAGAUGGACUCUGUUUGGGAGGAUAGGGAGCCUACCUCUCCUGGGUGUAGCUGCAUCGUCUCGUCACACAGACUGCUUGGGAGCUAGCAUGCACCAAAUUCUACAGUUUGAAGCACAGAAACUAGUUAUAUUGCCAUCGGGACCAGGCCAAUGUUCUUCCCAUGUGCUCCUUCUGCAGUGUCUCCACCAUGAGCAUCUCUCCAACCAGUUCAGAGCCACUCAGUCUGGACAAUCACAAGUCCCCAUCUGCUGCACCAUGUCUGUGACCCUCUACUCCUGUGCAUCCCAGCAAGCGGGAUGCCCCUCCUCGGUUUUAGCACAUGUGUAUUGGGUCCCCCACAUCUCUUCUCAUCAGAGCUUCUUUUUUGAGCCUGGUUUCUGUUUUGUUUUAUCCUCCGCUUAUCAUCAUAGCUUGUCACAGCAGACAGACAGCCAUCCCAGUUGUUGUCUGGUUGAGUUAGUACGUCUGCAUUAGCAAAGUAAGGUGAGUGGACAAUUCCGCAGGGCAUGUUCAAUAUCCUGUGCCCUGAGUUAAACGAGAAUCGGUCACCUGAGGACACCCAAGAUGGGAGCAGUUAAACAGAUGAGAAGUGUAGCUUUUUUAUGAUUGUUUUGUUUAUUAUUUAUUUUUAUUUUAUUUUUAUGUUAUUUUAAUUUUGUUGUUUUAUUGUCUGUUUUAACACAGAUUAAGGUUGCACAUUACCCUCAGAUUUAACUUUUGCCAGUAUUUUAUUUGCAUUGUGGUAAAGCAGGACUUAUUCCUCGGUACAGUCAAGCUUGACUUGAUGAUUUUAUUUUAUUUUUUUAUUUAUUGAUUAACCUCUAAAAUGUAGAGUUUCUUUACUUUGAAUGUGUGUUUUUUUUUUUGUUUUUUCUUAAAUAUCUUUAGGCUGCACAUGAAUAACCUAGACUAAGAGAGUAAGGUUGUGUCCAGCAUCUAUUCACCUUGGAAGGGAAAGAAACGCCACAUUUAAAGGGCACUAAAGGAGCUGUCAUCAUCAGAAAUCAGGGUGAAGCAUGUGAUUGAGAGCCGCCAAAUACCUGAAACGUGCUCAAGGCAAUACAUGAGUGGGAGCCGCCUCCUUUUCAAAGAUGAUUCCCAGCUCUCCUCCAUAUCCAUGCCAGGAGACUUACGAGAAGAUUUAUGAGAAGAUGGCCACACCCACGGCCAAUGGUGUCUCUUCCUCAGGAACUCUACAACCACCUUCCUCCACGUGUCCUCCACCACCCUCAGCUCGUCAGUGUACAGAGCUGUAAUUAUGAUGGAUUGUACAGACAAGUUUGUAAAUACCAAACUAUUGCACAGGUACAGUAGAGGAUCUUGUAACAUGGUCUCUCACAGGCUUGGAGACACAUAUUAAACAAACACCCAAUCAGACAAUUAAAAAAAAAAAAACUUUCUAACUACCAUCCUCUCCUACACACACACACACACACACACAGAGACAAUCUUGUGCUCAAUGGGGAAGAACUGUUGAAAGUUUGGGGGAGCUCUGCUCAUGCAUAGGCUACUCUGUGUUAUGGGACACAACACAACUAAUGCUACACAUAUUUAAAUAAUAAAAAAAACAGACCUUUUGUUUA